rnacentral:rRNA from 1 species
GACGAACGCUGGCGGCGUGCUUAACACAUGCAAGUCGAACGGAAAGGCCCUGCUUUUGUGGGGUGCUCGAGUUGCGAACGGGUGAGUAACACGUGAGUAACCUGCCCUUGACUUUGGGAUAACUUCAGGAAACUGGGGCUAAUACCGGAUAGGAGCUCCUGCUGCAUGGUGGGGGUUGGAAAGUUUCGGCGGUUGGGGAUGGACUCGCGGCUUAUCAGCUUGUUGGUGGGGUAGUGGCUUACCAAGGCUUUGACGGGUAGGCGGCCUGAGAGGGGGACCGGCCACAUUGGGACGGAGAUACGGCCCAGACUCCUACGGGAGGCAGCAGUGGGGAAUAUUGCACAAUGGGCGGAAGCCUGAUGCAGCAACGCCGCGUGCGGGAUGACGGCCUUCGGGUUGUAAACCGCUUUCGCCUGUGACGAAGCGUGAGUGACGGUAAUGGGUAAAGAAGCACCGGCUAACUACGUG